GACGAACGCUGGCGGCGUGCUUAACACAUGCAAGUCGAACGGAAAGGCCCUGCUUUUGUGGGGUGCUCGAGUGGCGAACGGGUGAGUAACACGUGAGUAACCUGCCCUUGACUUUGGGAUAACUUCAGGAAACUGGGGCUAAUACCGGAUAGGAGCUCCUGCUGCAUGGUGGGGGUUGGAAAGUUUCGGCGGUUGGGGAUGGACUCGCGGCUUAUCAGCUUGUUGGUGGGGUAGUGGCUUACCAAGGCUUUGACGGGUAGCCGGCCUGAGAGGGUGACCGGCCACAUGAGGACUGAGAUACGGCCCAGACUCCUACGGGAGGCAGCAGUGGAGAAUAUUGCACAAUGGGCGGAAGCCUGAUGCAGCAACGCCGCGUGCGGGAUGACGGCCUUCGGGUUGUAAACCGCUUUCGCCUGUGACGAAGCGUGAGUGACGGUAAUGGGUAAAGAAGCACCGGCUAACUACGUG
rnacentral:rRNA from 1 species